rnacentral:piRNA from 1 species
UAACAAAUCGGGAAGGUGACAGAGUCGG